rnacentral:rRNA from 1 species
AUGGAGACCCUUCGGGCGGAACUUGCCCGAGCCAAGGAACAAGCCAGGAGGAGUGAUGCGGCCGCCCUGAAGGCGGCCGAAGAGUUAAAAGCUGAACGGGCUGCUCAUCGCCAUAGCGAAGAAAAAGUAGCCAAGAUGGCUGUUGAGUUGAAAGAUGCCGUCGAACAAUAUGAGCUCCUUGAAAAGGAAAACCAAGCGAAAGCGGCUGACCUGAAGAAGGCCUUGGAAGCAGCCAAGGAAACUCGCUCUGAGAUCAGAGCGGCAAAGGAGGAGCUGCGUCAAGCCGGAGAUAUCACGUCUGGGAAGCCCUUUCUGUUGCGGACGAAGUUAGGAGAUCUGAAUUAUGCCCCUCUGGAUCAAUUAUGGAGUGCUGAGGACGCGUAUUUGGACUUGGCAAAAAGUGCUGCUGAUGCGACUGAAUAUUUCAAGGAUCAGAAAGAUCAUGAGGUGGAAAGGUUGUUCUGGUCACAGUUCAGUGCUCCAAAGCGUCCGCCGCUGUUAAAUGAACAAAUGGCCGAGUGGGCCGAGCUCCAUAGGUUGUCCGAACUUGCCAUGAGGACUGUCGUGGAUCACCUUUGGCCGAAGGGACCAAGGCCGGACAAUUAUUUUGGUUUAGUGCAACGAUUCCUUGGUGUUGUGUCGCAUAUCGAUGCUGUAAAGAGGCCGGUGUGCAUAGAGGGUGCGCGGAUGGCUCUUGCCCGUGUUAAAACAUAUUGGGCAGGGAUGGAGGCCACCGCUAUUGCAAUCCGGGGUCCGGUGGGAGGCCAGGACCCGGCCAAGCACUAUUCUGAAGAAGUCCUAGAAGACGCCCAUUUAAUAGAGGCUCAGUGCUCAAAGAACACCAUGUUCGAGUGA